rnacentral:lncRNA from 1 species
CUCCAAUAAAAUUUAUGUUAGGAUUAAGAUAAUUUAAAACUAAUUCAAGUGAUUAUGGAUAAUCCAUAUAUAUAUCAACAUGCACUGACCAAAAUUCUAAAAUAAAGUACUACCAAAAUUCAAUAACCCUAGUUUUUCUUUUAUUUGCUCGAACUUGGUUGCCCUUAUCUGAAUUAACUUUUUCUCGAGCCUUAUAUAUAUUAUUAGUUAUGACCUUUCAAAAGAGUCCAACGUUGCUAUAGAAAUUUUCACAACAUCAAUAAUUUAGUAAUCAAUCUCUCGAUAUCAAGCAUUCGCUAGAAACUGGGAAUCUUAACUAAAUCAUGAUUUAUGUGAAUGCUAACUCUAUCAAAAAUUGAGGGACAAAAACCUGACUUAAACUUACUAUAAUUUAUCCACAAUAUUUUCUAGGCAACAACUAACACGGACCAGACAAAGUUAGCUCGCUAAAUGCAUGACCACUUAAAACACAAUAAAUUGGGAACAAUAUGUAGCGACGAGAAUUUCUUUCUUGUAAAAAUUUGGAGAAAAUCAUCAUUUAAAUAUAAAAGUUUUUGGUCGCUACAAUCCUUCCUCCUUGGAUUAAAUUUCUUGGUACUUGGUCUUGAUUUAACUUAUUUGGUAAAAAAUCUCUUGGUACUUGGUCUCGAUUUCUUUUUUUUUUUUUUUUUCCCUCCCAAAUAGCCUCUUUUAUCAUAUGAUUACCCAACCGGAACUUUACUAAUGGCACUUCUCUGAAUCUCAACAAGUGAACUUUCCUUUCCAAUAUCUUGAUUAGUGACACCUCGUACGUUAGAUCUUUCUAUAAAUCUACUGAUUGAUCCUUGAUCACAUGACUCGGGUGUAGAAUCCCGAAUUUUUAGUUAAUUCGCAUAUAUUUUAUUUGCCAUUUAAUAGGAAUGCAAUAUUUGGUUAAGUCCUUAUGCAAGUUAAUUGGUUAUCCCUAUAGUCAAUUUGGAUCUAUAUGGAUAUCUUAUUAGUUGAGGGACCGAAGUGAAGAUAAAUAUCAAAUUUUAUACUUUUAUUAAGUGGGCCAAAUAGUUAACUAUUGAAGGAGCUAGAAUUACCCUAUCAAUAUUGGGCUCAUUUUGAAGUUCGUAAUAAAUUGCGAAUUCUGGAACCAAGAAAAAAUUAAUUUGGAUAAGUUAAACUCGGGUUAUAGCCAGUUAAGAAAACUACUUAGUCAAUAAUAUUAGUUACUAAUUCGGGCUAUAUUAGUAUAUCAAUAUUGGAUUCCUU